GGAUUAGGCAUGCAAGUCGGACGGUAGGACUUUAUCGUAAGAUAGAGUUUGAGAGUGGCGAACGGGUGAGUAAUACGUAGGAAUCUACCCUUAAGACGGGGACAACUCAGGGAAACUUGGGCUAAUACCGGAUGCGAGUGUAUGAGAGUACAUUUAAAAGGAUGGUGAAAGCUAUCGCUUAGGGAUGAGCCUGCGGUCUAUUAGCUAGUUGGUGGGGUAAGAGCUCACCGAGGCGAUGAUAGAUAGGCGGCCUUAACGGGUGGUCGCCCACACUGGGAUUGAGAUACGGCCCAGACUCCUACGGGAGGCAGCAGUCGAGAAUAGUCUACAAUGGCCGGAAGGCUGAUAGUGCGACGCCGCGUGAACGAGGGAGCCCUUCGGGGUGUAAAGUUCUUUUCUAUACGAGCAGUGCUAUAUAUAUUCAAAGUAUAUAUAGAGGGAUAGUAGUAUAGGAAUAAGCAACGGCUAACUCCGUGCCAGCAGCCGCGGUAACACGGGGGUUGCGAGCGUUGUCCGGAAUUACUAGGCGUAAAGGGCAGGUAGGCGGAUCUACGAGUUUUUUGUUAAAGGCUACGGCUCAACUGUAGUAAGGCAGGAGAUACUGUAGGUCUGGAAUGCGGUAGGGGAAGACAGAAUUCCUGGUGUAGCGGUGGAAUGCGCAGAGAUCAGGAGGAAUACCGAAGGCGAAGGCAGUCUUCUAGGCCGUAAUUGACGCUUAACUGCGAAGGUGUGGGGAUCAAACAGGAUUAGAUACCCUGGUAGUCCACACAGUAAACGAUAAUCACUAGAUGUCGGGUUCUAGAUGGAUUCGGUGUCGGAGCCAACGCGAUAAGUGAUUCGCCUGGGGAGUACGAUCGCAAGGUUGAAACUCAAAUGAAUUGACGG
rnacentral:rRNA from 1 species